CCCUUAGAUGUUCUGGGCCGCACGCGCGCUACACUGAUGCAUUCAACGAGUUUCUUCCUGGUCCGAGAGGAAUGGGUAACCUUUUGAAAGUGCAUCGUGAUAGGGAUAGACUAUUGCAAUUAUUGGUCUUCAACGAGGAAUUCCCAGUAGACGUAGUUCAUCAGACUGCAUCGAUUACGUCCCUGCCCUUUGUACACACCGCCCGUCGCUCCUACCGAUUGAAUGCUCAGGUGAGCCAUUCGGACUUUCAUCAUGCUGGUUUCCAGUUUUGAUGAAGGAAAGUCUUGCGAACCUUAUCAUUUAGAGGAAGGAGAAGUCGUAACA
rnacentral:rRNA from 1 species